AGGAGGAACAACCCCAGUGGUGGGGCCAGCUCUGGAACCCUGGCUUCAGCCCCCACAAUAUCUAAGGAGCUCUCUGUCUUCAGGGCCUGGAGGCUCCGGGGCAGG
rnacentral:pre_miRNA from 1 species